AUACCACUCUUAUAAAGCUAGAAUUCUAACCUUAUACCGUUAGCCGGUUAAGGAACAGUCUCUGGUGGGCAGUUUGACUGGGGCGGUCGCCUCCUAAAAGGUAACGGAGGCGCACAAAGGUUUCCUCAGAUCGGUCAGAAAUCGAUCGUAGAGCGUAAAGGCAUAAGGAAGCUUGACUGCGAGACCUACAAGUCGAGCAGAGACGAAAGUCGGUCUUAGUGAUCUGACGGUUCCGAGUGGAAGGGCCGUCACUCAACGGAUAAAAGUUACUCUAGGGAUAACA
rnacentral:rRNA from 1 species